UUGGCGGACGUCAGAAAUCUCCAAUUGCUCUUGUAUUUUACUGUUUUGUGUUGAUCUCUGCCUCACGGCUCCUCUCGUCCCCCCACAGAUGAUUUCCCCGUCAAGGAAGGUGAUGUGCUCCAGUCAUUUUACAUGGUGCAGGAGUUUCUGGGUGAGGGCAACUUUGGGAAGGUGGCCAAGUGUUGACACAAAGUGACCCAUCAGGACGUGGCCAUCAAAAUCUCAAAGAACAAGCCCAGUAUUAUUAGAGAGACAAAGAAAGAGCUUGCCAAUCUUGAACUCCUGCGUGCCCUGGACCCAGAGAAGGCCAACAUCGUCAGGUGGUACGAUGCUUUCACACACGGAGACCUUAUUUGCCUCAAAUUUGAACUCCUGGUCCAGAGUCUUCAUGACUACGUGGAUGAGCUGAACUACGACCCUCUUCCCGUCAGUGAUCUCCGAGCUGUUGUGCAGCAAAUGGCCACCGCACUGCUCCACCUGCAGACCCUGGGUGUUAUUCAUUGCGACAUAAAGCCCCAGAAUAUUAUGGUGGUCGACCACAAUCAGC